AAUAGAAUUGUUGAACCCUAAAUCGAGUAAAGUUCUUCUUUCAUCUCUCAUUCCUUUUCCAGAGAGCUGGUGCCGCCUCGCCGGCAAUCAUACACCGACGAGUUCUCUACAUUGGAGUCGUCGGGCGACUAGGAGUUGAACAAAGAUAGGGUUUUCACCGAGGGCAAGAGUUCCGGCGACCCAAAGGCCCACUACUGAAACUGUUUGCUCCGAAAUAGUAAUAUCUUUGCCAGAACAAGCUUGACAUCUUGAGUUUGAAACUUUUAUCCGGUUAUAACUUUUGUGAAUGGAGACCAUCCAAGGAGCGGGCACUCAAGUUCAGGAUGUAAGCUCGAGUGGGCCUGAGCAAAACAACUCUACCGGUCAUGUGGCCAGUGUCAAGAAGCUCUUGCAUCGUAGAAUGUUGGUUGGUGUGAAUGAUGGCCGGUUCUUUGCAGGCUCAUUCUAUUGCCUUGAUAAGCAAGGAAACAUCAUUCUUCAAGACGCGGUUGAAUACCGUAGCACCAGACGCUCUUCCCCUUCCCCGAUAGAACAGCGAGGUCUUGGUCUCAUUCUCAUCCCUUUCUCGUGUCGGACUUCAUGUCAUGUGGAUUGCUCCAUUGAAGAACAGCUGUCUCUCAUAUCCUUGCAUGAGCAGAACUCAUAGUAGUGAAUGCAGGUUGCUCUCCAACAUAUCUUCAAAUUAAACAAUUUUUCCCCCAUUUCUUUUCUAAUUUGUUUACAGAAAUCUUCAAAUUAAUCAAUUUUCCCAUUUCUUUUCUAAUUUAUUUGCACAUUGUUGUGUAUAUGACAGCAAGACAUUGUGGCUUUGUGUUUUUCCUAUGUGUAUUGUCCUCCAGUCUCUACCAAGACUCUUCUGAUGUAAACAUUCCAUAUUUGCUUUCAAUAUAUCCCAAUGCUUUUGGUAGGUAGUUGCAUAA